GACGAACGCUGGCGGCGUGCUUAACACAUGCAAGUCGAACGAUGAUCUCCCGCUUGCGGGGGUGAUUAGUGGCGAACGGGUGAGUAAUACGUGAGUAACCUGCCCUUGACUCUGGGAUAAGCCUGGGAAACCGGGUCUAAUACUGGAUACUACUUCCUGCCGCAUGGUGGGGGGUGGAAAGGGUUUUACUGGUUUUGGAUGGGCUCACGGCCUAUCAGCUUGUUGGUGGAGUAAUGGCUCACCAAGGCGACGACGGGUAGCCGGCCUGAGAGGGUGACCGGCCACACUGGGACUGAGACACGGCCCAGACUCCUACGGGAGGCAGCAGUGGGGAAUAUUGCACAAUGGGCGGAAGCCUGAUGCAGCGACGCCGCGUGAGGGAUGACGGCCUUCGGGUUGGAAACCUCGUUCAGCAGGGAAGAAGCCACAAGUGACGGUACCUGCAGAAGAAGCGCCGGCUAACUACGUG
rnacentral:rRNA from 1 species